rnacentral:rRNA from 1 species
UACAGAGGUGGCAAGCGUUGUUCGGAAUUACUGGGCGUAAAGCGCGCGUAGGCGGUUUGUUAAGUCAGCUGUGAAAGCCCCGGGCUCAACCUGGGAACUGCAGUUGAUACUGACCGACUAGAGUACGAGAGAGGGAGGUAGAAUUCCAUGUGUAGCGGUGAAAUGCGUAGAUAUAUGGAGGAAUACCGGUGGCGAAGGCGGCCUCCUGGCUCGAUACUGACGCUGAGGUGCGAAAGCGUGGGGAUCAAACAGG